AGUAGGCCCAUCCUCUAGGACUCCUAUAAUAAGUUGUGGAGUGCUAACAGACCUCCUUCUCUGCUGCUGCCCAUUCCCCGUCUGUCCUCUUUUUUUCCCCACCCUGUCUCCCUCUUGCUCAUUCAGCUUCCCUCCACCUUCUUUCGAUUUAUCUAGCUCAGUUUCUAUGGGAGCAGCCAGCCAGAGGAGCCUUGAAGUCGGAGAGAAGAAGGAAGCAAAGCCAGGUGUGCAGUGGGAACAUGACGGGCCCCGAGGUUGGGCUGAGAGGGUAUGCCAAGUGUCGUGUCAAGCAGCACCACUACAUCAUGAAGAGAUGGAUACUGUCAAGGCUCUCCCCUCACAUCUCAAUCCUCAUGGAGUCCAAGUGAAAGAGGGUGGAUUUACACCAUCUGUCCAGGAACCACAGG